AAUAGAUACCCUGGUAGUCCACGCCGUAAACGGUGGGCACUAGGUGUGGGCAACAUUCCACGUUGUCCGUGCCGCAGCUAACGCAUUAAGUGCCCCGCCUGGGGAGUACGGCCGCAAGGCUAAAACUCAAAGGAAUUGACGGGGGGCCCGCACAAGCGGCGGAGCAUGUGGCUUAAUUCGACGCAACGCGAAGAACCUUACCAAGGCUUGACAUACACCGGAAAGCAUCAGAGAUGGUGCCCCCCUUGUGGUCGGUGUACAGGUGGUGCAUGGCUGUCGUCAGCUCGUGUCGUGAGAUGUUGGGUUAAGUCCCGCAACGAGCGCAACCCUUGUCCCGUGUUGCCAGCAACUCUUCGGAGGUUGGGGACUCACGGGGAGACCGCCGGGGUCAACUCGGAGGAAGGUGGGGACGACGUCAAGUCAUCAUGCCCCUUAUGUCUUGGGCUGCACACGUGCUACAAUGGCCGGUACAAUGAGCUGCGAUACCGCAAGGUGGAGCGAAUCUCAAAAAGCCGGUCUCAGUUCGGAUUGGGGUCUG
rnacentral:rRNA from 1 species